rnacentral:rRNA from 1 species
CCCUUAGAUGUCCUGGGCUGCACGCGCGCUACACUGAUGUGUCCAGUAAGCACCUAACCUCUUCCGAAAGGAACGGGUAACCUUUGCAAAGCACAUCGUGAUGGGGAUAGAUUAUUGCAAUUAUUAGUCUUGAACGAGGAAUUCCUAGUAAGCACAAGUCAUCAGCUUGUGUUGAUUACGUCCCUGCCCUUUGUACACACCGCCCGUCGCUCCUACCGAUUGAAUGUUCCGGUGAGCUCUUCGGACUGCGCGUUCUGCAGUUUCUGCGUUCCGUGCGGAAAGUUGCGCAAACCUUAACAUUUAGAGGAAGGAGAAGUCGUAACA